CGUAGUUGGAUUUCUGGUACAACGCGCCUGGCCCGCUUUUAGUGAGUGCCGGUGCGCGUUUGCCAUCCUUCUAGAAAACGUUUCUACCUGGGCAACCGGGCCGGACUCGCGAUCUAGAUCUUUUACUUUGAAAAAAUUAGAGUGUUUAAAGCAGGCUUUUGCUGUGAAUACAUUAGCAUGGAAUAAUAAUCUAGGACUUCGGUUCUAUUUUGUUGGUUUCUAGAUCUGGAGUAAUGA
rnacentral:rRNA from 1 species